rnacentral:rRNA from 1 species
CGGACGGGUGAGUAAUGUCUGGGAAACUGCCUGAUGGAGGGGGAGAACUACUGGAAACGGUAGCUAAUACCGCAUAACGUCGCAAGACCAAAGAGGGGGACCUUCGGGCCUCUUGCCAUCGGAUGUGCCCAGAUGGGAUUAGCUAGUAGGUGGGGUAACGGCUCACCUAGGCGACGAUCCCUAGCUGGUCUGAGAGGAUGACCAGCCACACUGGAACUGAGACACGGUCCAG